rnacentral:tRNA from 3 species
GCGGGUAUAGUUUAGUGGUAAAAACCGCCCUGUCAAGACGGAAGUUGCGGGUUCGAGCCCCGUCAGUCCCGAU